rnacentral:rRNA from 1 species
UACGUAGGGUGCGAGCGUUGUCCGGAAUUAUUGGGCGUAAAGGGCUCGUAGGCGGUUUGUCGCGUCGGGAGUGAAAUCCACUGGCUUAACUGGUGGCUUGCUUUCGAUACGGGCAGACUGGAGGUAUGCAGGGGAGAACGGAAUUCCUGGUGUAGCGGUGAAAUGCGCAGAUAUCAGGAGGAACACCGGUGGCGAAGGCGGUUCUCUGGGACGGUACUGACGCUGAGACGCGAAAACGUGGGGAGCGAACAGG